UGGGUUAGGAGUAGGGUUGGAUUAGGAGUAGGGUUAGGAGUAGGUUUAGGGUUGUGUUAGGAGUAGGGUUGGGUUAGGGGUACCCUAACCCUACUCCUAACCCAAUCCCUACCCCUACCCCUAACCAUACCCUAACCCUACUCCUAGCCCAACCCUAACCCUACUCUAUCCCAACCCUACCCUUAACCCUACUCCUAACCCUACCCUACCCCUAACCCCA